rnacentral:rRNA from 1 species
GGUGAAAAGCACCCCGGAAGGGGAGUGAAAUAGAACCUGAAACCGUGUGCUUACAAGUAGUCAGAGCCCGUUAAUGGGUGAUGGCGUGCCUUUUGUAGAAUGAACCGGCGAGUUACGAUUUGAUGCAAGGUUAAGCAGUAAAUGUGGAGCCGUAGCGAAAGCGAGUCUGAAUAGGGCGUUUAGUAUUUGGUCGUAGACCCGAAACCAGGUGAUCUACCCUUGGUCAGGUUGAAGUUCAGGUAACACUGAAUGGAGGACCGAACCGACUUACGUUGAAAAGUGAGCGGAUGAACUGAGGGUAGCGGAGAAAUUCCAAUCGAACCUGGAGAUAGCUGGUUCUCUCCGAAAUAGCUUUAGGGCUAGCCUCAAGUGAUGAUUAUUGGAGGUAGAGCACUGUUUGGACGAGGGGCCCCUCUCGGGUUACCGAAUUCAGACAAACUCCGAAUGCCAAUUAAUUUAACUUGGGAGUCAGAACAUGGGUGAUAAGGUCCGUGUUCGAAAGGGAAACAGCCCAGACCACCAGCUAAGGUCCCAAAAUAUAUGUUAAGUGGAAAAGGAUGUGGCGUUGCCCAGACAACUAGGAUGUUGGCUUAGAAGCAGCCAUCAUUUAAAGAGUGCGUAAUAGCUCACUAGUCGAGUGACACUGCGCCGAAAAUGUACCGGGGCUAAACAUAUUACCGAAGCUGUGGAUUGUCCUUUGGACAAUGGUAGGAGAGCGUUCUAAGGGCGUUGAAGCAUGAUCGUAAGGACAUGUGGAGCGCUUAGAAGUGAGAAUGCCGGUGUGAGUAGCGAAAGACGGGUGAGAAUCCCGUCCACCGAUUGACUAAGGUUUCCAGAGGAAGGCUCGUCCGCUCUGGGUUAGUCGGGUCCUAAGCUGAGGCCGACAGGCGUAGGCGAUGGAUAACAGGUUGAUAUUCCUGUACCACCUAUAAUCGUUUUAAUCGAUGGGGGGACGCAGUAGGAUAGGCGAAGCGUGCGAUUGGAUUGCAC